GAUGACCUUUGCAUUUUGGAAUGCUUAAAUGGUGGGAAUAAACGAAGGAGAAAGAAAAUGGUCAUUGAUGUUGAUUGGGAAGAUUUUAUUAUUGAGACCCUUCUCCUUCAUCGGGUGGAGGAGGAGGAAAUAGAGAAGGGGCACCACAAUACCUUACUGGACUUGCAUGUCUUUAACUCUGAAAGUGUGUAAUUAGCUUUAUCAUGGUUGGAAUUGUGGCUUGAAUCUACUCAACUGCAUAGGUCACUGCACUAUUAGAGAGAAGUUUUGUAAUUUUUACUCCUCCAGCAGGAGGGAAUCUAUUUUUGUUACCUAUUUCUGCAAAAUUAAUACAAGUUUCACAAUGUGAAGAGCUUGAAAACUCCAUGCUUUUUCUUUUUCAUCAAGGAGUGUGCGGCAGGGAUCCAUUGAGAUUGAUUCAAAUUGGACAUCAGUAAUUUGAUUCAAGUGAUCACUUCGGCCCAAAGAAAAAUUGCCAGUGAAAAAGUGCUUGUUUGCUUGCGGGGGGGUGCUUGGAGAUAAUGGGGCUAAGUGGAUUGACAGUGGGCGUCAAUAUUGAAAACCAACUGCAGACAAUGGGUGCCGAUAUGAAACAACUCUGUCAAAAUUCAUGCAUGAUGUGAUGCGUUCAUUUUCACCAGAUUUCAUGGAAGGGUAGCUCCUGAAUUAUCUCCUCAACAAAAUAAAAAUGUUAAUCUCACAACUCAUGAAAGCUCAAUGAUUGGUGUUGACAAUGACCCUAAGAAGGGACUUUGCAACAAAAACUCUUUGGCCCAUCAAUAUUGUAUGGAACCCAUGAAAGAUAAACGUAAUGAUUUAUUGUCGAAGAAAAAGGAUGAUAUUGGUACGAGUGAAAAGUGAAAUGUGAGUGUAGUGAAAAAUGACACAGCGAAGAAACCGUUCCCAACCGAGAUUCCAGUAGUAGUUGAUACUUCAGAGAAAGAUUCAAGCUUGGCAUCAUUAUUUUGCUGAGUCAAAAAAUCUGAUGAUGAAAGAUGGGAUGGUCAAGAGGAUUUGUCAACACCAGUAUUGCUAGAUGGGUAUCACUCUUGUGUGAAGGAAGCGGAAACGACUAACCAUGUAAAUGCUAAAGCUGACAAGUCAAAUGUCCUGCCAUCAGCUAAUUCAGUUAUUUUAGGUGAGUCCUGCAAAUGUAGAGUUUCUAAUACUGUACUUACUUCAGGUGAUGUUUUCUCAGCAAUAUCAAAUGGUAAGGUUCUGUUAUCCUAUUUGUUCUAUGUGCUUCUUUCUUUACUUUUAUUUACUUCUGUUAAUUUCUACUCUGGCUGGUGCGGCUACCUUUGUGACUAUAUCUGUGACACAUUCUGUUGGCUUGGGAUUGAGCUAUCUAAUAAAGUUUCUGAAUCAGAAGAUUAUGUUUCCAUUGUAGAUUCUGAUAACUUGUUAUUUCUGUUUUUUCUCAUGUAUUUUGAUUUUUUUUUUUUUUGAAAUAUUGGAGCCCAAGAUAAUUGUGCCGAGAGGGGGGGCUAUGAAUAGGCCAAUUUCAAGAAUUAUCUCAAGGUUACCCAAUUAAUUUUGAUGAUUCAAAUUAAAUUGUGAUCACAUUGGAAAAUCCAAAUAACUUCGGGAUGGAAGACACAUCAAUUAACUUGGAGACCCUCUAGGAAAACUCUCCAAGAGGGGAAAGCCAUGGGCCCAAUACUCAGCAAAAUCUACUACAGGACACACAGGAAGGAUUACAACCAAACCUUGGUUAACCCUAUCUCUGAAGUCUUGAAAUGCUCCACAAGCACAACCUUGCCCAGUCAGCCUCGUUUGACUUGAUUGAACAGCACAAAGCUUCGCUCCUCAACCUUCAUACACCGACAACUUUGUUAACCCAACGGUCAGGAGUGAGAGGACAAUGCAAUGCAGGAUUUUUUAAGGUUUUUGUUUUUGAUCACUCACUCAUUGUAGUGAUGAGUUUGCAGAAGUUGACAGAAGUUUGGAACCAAGUUGAGGUGAGGGGACUAUGAAGCCUCAUUACAAGCGACCAUUUUCAGAGUAGCAUUACACGGGGCCCAUUAUGGUUACAAAAUUAGUGGUUUUAGGUAUUAUACCUAAACAAAAUUAGUUAGCUUAGACCUUGUAAUUAUUCAAUAUUCCACUAGCGUUUCGUGUCGUUGAUUCAGGAAACGGAAAUAUUUUGGCCAUUUCAAUGGAAACAAAAUGAGAUUUUGUUCCUUACUCCUAAAAUGGUUCUUAUGUUGAAGUUUGAUCCUACAACCAGGAGGUAUUUGUCCAAGCUUUGAUAGACUCUUUUAUGCAAAUCAUUUUGUUGUUUUGCUACUCAUUUUCAAUUGUUUGUUUAAUUAACCUAAAGCCGCUUGGGUGCUUGCUUUCUGAUUUUAUUCUUCGGGUAAUAUAUAUUGUAAACUUCUUUUAGGUUCUAUGAAGCUUCAUUUUUUUCUUACCUCAGAAGAUUUCAAUAUGGAAAACUUGACCUUUUUUUAUUAUUGAAUGAUUAAUUGUUGAGCAUUUGAUUGGAUUGAGAUAUAUUUUUCACUUGAUCAA